AACGCACAUUGCGCCCUUUGGUAUUCCGAGGGGCAUGCCUGUUCGAGCGUCAUUUCACCACUCAAGCUAUGCUUGGUAUUGGGUGUCGUCCUUAGUUGGGCGCGCCUUAAAGACCUCGGCGAGGCCUCACCGGCUUUAGGCGUAGUAGAAUUUAUUCGAACGUCUGUCAAAGGAGAGGACUUCUGCCGAUCGAAACCUUUAUUUUUCUAGGUUGACCUCGGAUCAGGUAGGGAUACCCGCUGAACUUAA
rnacentral:misc_RNA from 1 species